UGUUAAUUCUCGUAUAUUAUACUACGGUAUGUAUAUGACAUUAACAUAAUUCAUAUUACUUUAUAGUAUAUGAAAUUUUACUUUGAGAAAAUUAGAGUGCUUAAAGCAGGCGUUUGCCUUGAAUACUCCAGCAUGGAAUAAUAAUAAGGAUUUUUAUCUUUCUUAUUGGUUCUAGGAUAAAAAUAAUGAUUAAUAGGGACAGUUGGGGGCAUUCGUAUUUAACAGUCAGAGGUGAAAUUCUUAGAUUUGUUAAAGACAAACUACUGCGAAAGCAUUUGCCAAGGAUGUUCUCAUUAAUCAAGAACGAAAGUUAGGGGAUCGAAGACGAUCAGGUACCGUCGUAGUCUUAACCAUAAACUAUGCCGACUAGAGAUUGGAGGUUGUU
rnacentral:rRNA from 1 species